rnacentral:rRNA from 1 species
AUUCCAGCUCCAAUAGCGUAUAUUAAAGUUGUUGCAGUUAAAAAGCUCGUAGUCGGAUUUUGGCAUCACGCCGAACUGUCUGCCGAUUGGUAAGUACGGUUUGGCGGGUGCUUCCUUCCGGAGGCUCGUUCCCUUCUUCAUUGAAGGGUUCGUUGGUUCCGGGUCUUUUACUUUGAGAAAAUUAGAGUGUUCAAAGCAGGCCUAUGCUCUGAAUAGGUUAGCAUGGAAUAAUAGAAUAGGACUUUGGUUCUAUUUUGUUGGUUUCUAGUACUGAAGUAAUGAUUGAUAGGGAUAGUUGGGGGUGCUAGUAUUGGGCGGCCAGAGGUGAAAUUCUUGGAUUCGCUCAAGACUAACUUAUGCGAAAGCAUUCACCAAGGAUGUCUUCAUUG